ACUUAAAUAGUUUAUUUUAAAAUAUUGAUUUGUGGAGUCAAGGAGGUCUAGGGACUUUAGGUA
rnacentral:tRNA from 1 species